GGGCGGGUAGUUAAACCUGGUAUAACGCUCCGUUGGCUAUACUUUAGCUAUACUGAUUAUAAGUAUUGUAAUAUACCGGAAUCGGAGAGGCUUCGGGUUCAAAUCCCGACCCGUCCA
rnacentral:tRNA from 1 species